rnacentral:misc_RNA from 1 species
GAUGAAGAACGUAGCGAAAUGCGAUAAGUAGUGUGAAUUGCAGAAUUCAGUGAAUCAUCGAAUCUUUGAACGCACAUUGCGCCCCUUGGUAUUCCAUGGGGCAUGCCUGUUCGAGCGUCAUUUGUACCUUCAAGCUCUGCUUGGUGUUGGGUGUUUGUCCUUUUUCUUGCAGAGGGACUCGCCUUAAAGUAAUUGGCAGCCAGUGUUUUGGUUUUGAAGCGCAGCACAAGUCGCGAUUCAAGGCUAUACGCCAGUUUCCACAAGCCCUUUACCACUUUUGACCUCGGAUCAGGUAGGGAUACCCGCUGAACUUAAGCAUAUCAAUAAGCGGAGGA